UUGGAGGAUGAUGAGUUGCACACAGGGUGCUGUGGUGCCGAGCGCUGCACACUCUUCAGAUCAAAGCUGGUGACAUAACCAGGUGCACAGGGGCCAGCUGACUCCAU